rnacentral:rRNA from 1 species
GUACGCGGUAGACAAUCCUGGUGGCGAGUGGCGAACGGGUGAGUAAUAUAUCGGAACGUGCCCAGUCGUGGGGGAUAACGCAGCGAAAGCUGUGCUAAUACCGCAUACGAUCUACGGAUGAAAGCGGGGGAUCGCAAGACCUCGCGCGAUUGGAGCGGCUGAUAUCAGAUUAGCUAGUUGGUGGGGUAAAGGCCUACCAAGGCGACGAUCUGUAGCUGGUCUGAGAGGACGACCAGCCACACUGGAACUGAGACACGGUCCAGACUCCUACGGGAGGCAGCAGUGGGGAAUUUUGGACAAUGGGCGCAAGCCUGAUCCAGCAAUGCCGCGUGCAGGAUGAAGGCCUUCGGGUUGUAAACUGCUUUUGUACGGAACGAAAAGGUCUUUCUUAAUACGAGAGAUUUAUGACGGUACCGUAAGAAUAAGCACCGGCUAACUACGUGCCAGCAGCCGCGGUAAUACGUAGGGUGCGAGCGUUAAUCGGAAUUACUGGGCGUAAAGCGUGCGCAGGCGGUUUUGUAAGACAGAUGUGAAAUCCCCGGGCUCAACCUGGGACCUGCAUUUGUGACUGCAAGGCUAGAGUACGGUAGAGGGGGAUGGAAUUCCGCGUGUAGCAGUGAAAUGCGUAGAUAUGCGGAGGAACACCGAUGGCGAAGGCAAUCCCCUGGACCUGUACUGACGCUCAUGCACGAAAGCGUGGGGAGCAAACAGGAUUAGAUACCCUGGUAGUCCACGCCCUAAACCAAUGUCAACCUGGUUGUUGGGUCUGUACUGACUCAGUAACGAACCUAACCCGUGAAGAUGAACCCCCUGGGGAUUACAGAUCGCAAGGUUGAAAUUCAACGGAGUGAUUGGGAUC